UACGGAGGGGACUAGCGUUGUUCGGAAUUACUGGGCGUAAAGCGCACGUAGGCGGACAUUUAAGUCAGGGGUGAAAUCCCAGAGCUCAACUCUGGAACUGCCUUUGAUACUGGGUGUCUUGAGUAUGGAAGAGGUGAGUGGAAUUCCGAGUGUAGAGGUGAAAUUCGUAGAUAUUCGCAAGAACACCAGUGGCGAAGGCGGCUCACUGGCCCGGUACUGACGCUGAGGUGCGAAAGCGUGGGGAGCAAACAGG
rnacentral:rRNA from 1 species